rnacentral:rRNA from 1 species
GUCUUGAUCCACAGAACUUUCCAGAGAUGCUUUCGGUGCCUUCGGGAACUGUGAGACAGGUGCUGCAUGGCUGUCGUCAGCUCGUGUUGUGAAAUGUUGGGUUAAGUCCCGCAACGAGCGCAACCCUUAUCCUUUGUUGCCAGCGGUUAGGCCGGGAACUCAAAGGAGACUGCCAGUGAUAAACUGGAGGAAGGUGGGGAUGACGUCAAGUCAUCAUGGCCCUUACGACCAGGGCUACACACGUGCUACAAUGGCAUAUACAAAGAGAAGCGACCUCGCGAGAGCAAGCGGACCUCAUAAAGUAUGUCGUAGUCCGGAUUGGAGUCUGCAACUCGACUCCAUGAAGUCGGAAUCGCUAGUAAUCGUAGAUCAGAAUGCUACGGUGAAUACGUUCCCGGGUUUGGGUACACACCG